UGCCAGCAGCCGCGGUAAUACGAAGGUGGCGAGCGUUGUCGGAAUCACUGGGUUAAAGCGCGCGUAGGCGGAAUGGCAUGUGCUUUGUGAAAUCCCACGGCUUAACCGUGGAAUUGCUUGGCAAACUGCUAUUCUUGAGGCAAGCAGGGGUGUAUGGAACUCUUGGUGGAGCGGUGGAAUGCGUAGAUAUCAAGAGGAACGCCAAUGGCGAAGGCAGUACACUGGGCUUGUCCUGACGCUGAGGUGCGAAAGCGUGGGGAGCGAACGGGAUUAGAUACCCCGGUAGUCCACGCUGUAAACGAUGUCUACUAGGUUGUGGAAGUUCUGACGCUUUCACGGCCGAAGCAAAAGUGUUAAGUAGACCGCCUGGGGAGUACGGUCGCAAGGCUAAAACUCAAAGGGAUUGACGGGGGCUCACACAAGCGGUGGAGCAUGUGGAUUAAUUCGAAGCAACGCGCAGAACCUUACCUGGGUUUGACAUGCUUGGAUGCCUGCCUGGAAACAGGUUAGGUUGCCCUUCGGGGUGAAACUUGCACAGGUGCUGCAUGGCUGUCGUCAGCUCGUGUCGUGAGAUGUCGGGUUAAGUCCUUUAACGAGCGAAACCCUUGCCGUUAGUUGCCAGCGAGUAAUGUCGGGGACUCUAACGGGACUGCCGGUGUUAAACCGGAGGAAGGUGGGGAUGACGUCAAGUCCUCAUGGCCUUUAUGCCCAGGGCUUCACACGUGCUACAAUGGCGUACACAAAGCGAUGCGAUACCGCGAGGUGGAGCAAAUCGCACAAAAGACGCCUCAGUUCGGAUUGCAGGCUGACAACUCGCCUGCAUGAAGUUG
rnacentral:rRNA from 1 species